rnacentral:lncRNA from 10 species
AGGAGAGCCGCCCCCCUCCGGAUCCUGAGCCCGUGGCCCUGUCAGGGCCCGAGUCAAAGUCCUGACUUGGGAGCAUUCGUCAGCUCAAGUGCUUUCCACGAAAGUUUCCAUUCCUCCUGCCAAAUUAGGAGGCAGGGAGGGAAUUCAGCUUUCCCAGCUCAGGGGCCAGGCAGGCUUCUUGGGGGCCAUGCAGAAGGCUCCUGGAGGGUGAGAGAGGAAGUGCAGUUGCCUGGUGAGGCCAGGUCUUUGAAGAGGCCAAGAGAUGGCGUUCCCAACAGAAGAACGGCCUGAAGUUGAAAGGCCCUGGGGGUGUUAAUGUCUCUGCUUUCUCCAGAAAGAUUUAGGACGUCAAGUCGUCUGAAAAGAUUUCCUUUUUGGAGAACAAGCCCCGCUCUUUGGGGUACCGGAGGGUCUCUAAGAAGCACUGCCUGUCCCAGUUUCUACAAAGUUGGGGCCGCCUCUCUGGGAUAGGCCAGUCCAGCUCUGAAAGCUGAGCCAAGGGGCUGUUUCUGGAAGUUGGAAGAAUCAUGGUGAAACGGCACAAGUAUGGGCUGUUCAACAAUUAACCAGGCAGCGUGGAGUAUCAUCACAGAGAAUCUACGAUGUGCUACUGUGUGCUCUCUGCUAGAAACUGAAGGUUAAAGAGGCAAGCUCCAGAGUGAACG